rnacentral:lncRNA from 1 species
CCAUUCUGGGGUGCUGACCUACCCGUGUCAAGCCUUUCUGGGGUGCUGACCUACCCGUCGGUCCUAACAACCGACUCUCGGGGGACUUUUCUACCCGCUACUGCUACUAUCACAUAUAACAUAACAUAAACAUAUUAUCAGACAUAUCUAGGGUGCCUGAACUACCAUUCGGUCCUAACAACCGAACUCGGGGACUGGUUCCCCCCUACUACCUCUAUCGCAUAUAACAUAACAAGCCAGCAUGCAAACAUAUCAUCACAUACUGUCAGACGUAUCUGGGGUGUUUGACUACCUUCGGUCCUAANCUGGGGUGUUUGACUACCUUUCGGUCCUAACAACCAAACUCUACUACUAUCACAUACAACAUAUCAUGCUAGCAUAUAACAUAUCAGGUAGUAGAAAACCUAGAUGAUAUCACAAAGACAAUCAUUUAUCAUAUGUCUACUACUGGUGGGCCGACAUUGUGGCCUUAGACCCACCGCUAUUGGAAAGUAACUCACCUCGAAGUAGCUGCAGAUUCGUGCGGGAACUGUCUGUCUGCUGCUGCUGCUGUUCCGAAAAUCCUCCGGCUAUAAUUCCCACAAAACACUCAGUCAAACAAUGCUAACUAUCCUUAGGGUAAAAUGACCAUUUUACCCCUGACUAAGUCAAAAGUGAAGGUCAAUAGUCAACUUCCAGUUGACCCGACUCGCCGAGUUGGCUCGCCAACUCGUCGAGUCCCUAUCCAAUCGAUUUUCCUCACUCCCGUCCCUACUCGUCGAGUUAGGCAUUGACUCGACGAGUUCUCUUUCUAAACUGAUAUUCAAUGGUCCUUCAUCCGACUCGCCGAGUUGUAUUAACAACUCGUCGAGUUCAUCUUCAUUCCAUGAUUACUUUGGUUUGUGAAUCGCCGAGUUGUAUGAACAACUCGUCGAGUCUGUUCUUGAGGCAAGAAGAUUGCCUUGGACUCGCCGAGUCGGGGCAUUGACUCGCCGAGUCCCUCCAUUAAUGAGUCUGGCUUCUGACUCACUGAGUCCACUUAUAGCUCACUUUUCCUACUCAUCAUACUCAAAAAGGGGGAAAAUCGGGGACUCGUGACUCGACUCGUCGAGUCCGAAGAACGACUCGCCGAGUCGCAUACGUGCAAUCACUAAAUACUCGAUUCUGCUUGAAUCCAGUUCAUUCCAUUCAUAGAUUUGGGUUCUUAGGGCUUGAUUAACACGUAAAGUUUCCAACUUUAUGUGUAAAUAAACACCAAUGAAGGUUUUAGGGCUCAAAAUGCACUAAAAGAGUAGAUCUAGGGUUUUCAUGCAAUAUGGCUCCAUAAAGGCAUUAGAUCUGAGCUUCUAGAGCUCAUUUAUGGAUAGAUCCAGUGGCUAUUCAACCCAUUAUGAUCCCUAUACUACUAUCAAGCUUGGAGGUGGAUAAAGAUGGCUUAAAUGGGGUUUCUAAUAGAAAAUCAUCAUAGAAACAGAAUAGAUUUGACUUGUACCUCAGUGAACUCUGGAUUAGGUCCUAGAUCCUUGCUCUUCACCUUCUCCUUUGGUCUUCCCUUCCUUCUCUUCUUCAAACUUCAAAGAACAAGCACACAAACACUCAAAUCACAAGGAGAGAGUUAGGGUUUGGUAUAGGAUGCUCUGAGGGUGAAGGAGACUAGCUUGGGGGCGCAUAACAUGGUUUAAAUAGGGUGCAAACCCUUGAAAUUAGGGUUUCCUCUAGACUGGCGGACUCGCCGAGUCCAGGAUAUGGACUCGUCGAGUCGCCAACUUAAACGUGCUCGAUAUCUCGACUAUACUCGGCGAGUCGGGCCUACAACUCGCCGAGUUCCAGCUAAAAAUGCCAAAAUACUUAGAUUAAAAUACCUACUAGGAACCAGGUGCUACAAAUCUCCCCCACUUAUUUUAGACUUCAUCCUCAAAGUCUGUCACUCGCUCCUAGAAAAGCUCAAGAAAGUGCUCCCUCAUCUUUUCUACCGGUUCCCAAGUCCACUCCGAACCCUUCCGAUGCUGUGAUUGCACCUUCACUAGCUCCACCCUCUUGUUCCUCAGAUCCUUCGACUUCUGGUCGAGGAUCGCUACUGGCCGUUCAAUGUAAUUCAGGCUGUGAUCAACCUGAAUAUCCUCUAAAGGCACCACCACUGAGUAGUCCACUAGGCAUUUCCGCAGCUGCAAGACGUGGAAGGUGCUGUGGAUCUGACUGAGUUCGGCUGGCAGAUCCAGCCGGUACGCCACCUUGCCCACCCGGGCCAGAACCCUAAAGGGUCCAAUGUAUCUGGGGCCCAGCUUGCCCCGCUUCCUGAAUCGGAUGACGCCCUUCCAUGGCGACACCUUUAGGAGGACCAUAUCUCCGACCUGGAACUCCAGCUUUGAUCGGCGCUUGUCAGCGUAACUUUUGUGCCGACUCUACACAAUCUGAAGCCUGCUCCGAACCUGCUGAAUCCUCUUGGUCGUCUUAAGCACCACUUCGGUGCUCCCCAUAACCCUUUAGCCAACCUUACCCCAACAUAUCGGGGUCCUGCACCUCCUCCCGUACAACAUCUCGAAUGGAGGACGGUCAAUACUCGCGUGGUAGAUGUUGUUGUAUGAGAACUCAGCCAAAGGAAGAUAGGUGUCCCAGCUACCACUGAAGUCUAACACGCACGCCCGCAACAUAUCCUCCAGAGUCUGGAUGGUCCACUCACUCUGACCAUCUGUCUAUGGGUGAAAAGCGGUGCUAAAAUGCAGACGAGUACCCAGCUCGUCAUGGAACUUCUUCCAAAACCUGGAACUAAACCGUACAUCUGUGUUUGAAAUCACGGAGACUGGCACUCCGUGUCGUGCCACCACCUCUCGGAUGUAGAUAUCGGCCAACUUCUCGGCCGAGAUACUCUCCUAGAUUGGUAUGAAGUGGGCGCUCUUGGUCAACCGAUCCACGAUGACCCAUAUAGAAUCCACUCCCCGUGCGGUCUUGGGAAGCUUAGUGAUAAAAUCCAUCGUGAUGUCUUCCCAUUUCCACAGCGGGAUAUCCAACGGCUACAUCUUGUCGUGUGGCCUCUGGUGCUCGGCCUUGACCAUCCUGCAGUUCAAGCACCGCUCAACGUACCAUGCUACAUCCCGCUUAAUACAGGGCCGCCAAUAGUCUAGACGAAGAUCUCUAUACAUCUUCGUUUCCCGGGAUGAAUGGAGAAUCGGGAUUUAUGCGCCUCCUCCAUUAGAACCAGUCGCACACCCCCGUGAGAUGGUACCCACACCCUACGGUGUAGUGUCAAUAAUCCUCAGCCAUCAUAAUCGAAGGAGGAAAUCUGACCCACUAUACGCUCGCUCUUUCAAUGUUCCUCCUUCAUAGCCUCCUGCUGAGCCUCCCGUAUCUGUUUUAACAGUAGGGUCACCACCGUCAUCAUCAUACGCAUAUCUCUUAUCGGUGCUGCCUUACGGCUAAGCGCAUCGGCCACCACGUUGGCCUUCCCUGGGUGGUAAAGGAUCUCGCAGUCAUAAUCCUUUACCACAUCCAACCACUCAUCGCUGCCUCAUGUUCAGAUUCGGCUGGUCCAUGAGGUAUCUCAAACUCUUAUGGUCCAUGUAAAUGGUACACCGGACUCCAUAGAGGUAAUGCCGCCAAAUCUUGAGAGCGAAGACAACCACCCCCAACUCUAAAUUGUGUGUCGGGUAGUUCACCUCGUGAGGCUUUAGCUGCCUCGAAGCGUAGGCAAUGACAUGCCCUCUCUGCAUCAAUACCACGCCCAAACCUGAAAUGGACGCGUCACAGUAAACUACAAAAUCCUCUACGCCCUAUGGCAGGGCUAAGAUUGGCGCUUUGCACAAUCUCUGUCUCAGAGUCUCGAACGCGGCCUGCUGCUCAGGCCCCCAACUAACAACCACGACUUUCNGAAAGACUACGACCUUCUUCGUCAGCCGUGUCAAGGGUACGACUAUCUUGGUGAAAUCCUGGAUGAAUCUCUGAUAGUAGCCGGCUAAUCCCUGGAAACUCCGAAUCUCAGAUGGAGACUUCGGAACCUCCCAUCUCAUCACGGCGUCUACCUUGGCCGGGUCGACCAGAAUACCGUUCUGAUUGACAAGGUGCCCAAGGAAUUGCACUUCGCGCAACCAAAACUCGCACUUGGAUAACUUGGUGUACAAGCUCUCCCUCCUCAAGGUCUCCAAAACCUCUCUCAAAUGCUCCUCGUGCUCCUCCUGCGUCAUGGAGUAAACCAAGAUGUCAUCAAUAAACACUAUCACUGACCGGUCUAACAUCAGUCUACACACGCGGUUCAUGAGGUCCAUGAACACGGCCGGAGCAUUGGUGAGCCCGAAGGGCAUCACCACGAACUCAUAGUGGCCAUAUCGCAUCCGAAACGCGGUCUUCUGCACAUCCUCCUCUCUGGCCCUCAUCUGAUGAUAACCUAAACGCAAAUAAAUCUUGGAGAACCAAGAUGCUCCCUGUAGCUGGUCAAAGAGGUCAUCAAUCCUCAGGAGUGGGUAAUGGUUCUUCACCGUUACCUUGUUCGGCUCCCGAUAAUCUAUACACAUUCGAUGUGACCCGUCCUUCUUCUUUACAAACAGAAUCAGGGCUCCCCAGGGUGAACUGCUCGUUCUAGUGAACCCCUUGUCUAACAGCUCCUGCAUCUCAGGAGGAGCCAACCGAUACGGUGCCUUGGCUAUCGGAGCCGCACCAGGAACGAGGUCGAUCCUGAACUCCACCUGUCGCUCAGGAGGUAUCCCAGGAAACUCCUCUGGGAACAUAUCUGCGUAAUCUUGCACUACCGGAACCUCGCUCACUGUCGCCUUACCCGCCUCCCAGGUAUCCAUAACAUAUGCGACAUAUCCUACGCAACCCUGCUGAAGGUAGCGCCUAGCCCUUGCUGCUGAACAUACUGUGGGUCCACACUGUGGCCUCUCGCCAUGGAUCACCAACUCUCCCCCUCCUGGGGUCUUGAUUCGCACUAGCUGUUGUGCACAAUCUAUCACCGCCCCAUUAGGGCUCAACCAAUCCAUGCCUAUAAUCACCUUGUUCCCACGCAAUGGAAUGGGAACCAAGUCUACCAAGUAGCGCUCCUCAAAUAACCUCAGAACGCAAUCUCUGAACACUGCUAAUGCUCGCACCGAUCGAUCAUCGGCAAUCUCUACCUCUAAAGGGCAAUCUAACUUGCCCGAAGACUCGGUGAACUUCUUGCUAAGCGCAAGAGAAUCAAAAGAUUGGGUGGCACCCGAGUCAAAGAACACCUGUACUGGAAUACCGUUCACAUGGAACGAUCCUAAACGCAUAUACACAGAGAACAUAUCAAUAUCAUAACAUCAUAUAAAUAAAUAAGAGGGAAAAAAUCAUACCCGUCACCACAUCGGGUGCGGCGUGUGCCUCCUCGGCGGUCAGCUGAAAUGCCUAGCUCCUCACCACUGGAGCCUCUACCUUUCCCUGCCGGCCAUUAGUAAUCCGCAAGGUCGCUGGAGCUGGCGCCUUCACUGGCGCUGCUGCUGUCAACUGGGGGCAAUUGGCCUUCUUGGGGCCCCUCUGGUUGCAGUGGAAACACAACAACUCAGACGUCUGUAUCAUAGGUGCAGGGGCGGUACAAUCCCUACUGAAGUGCCCCGUCUUGCCGCACUUAUAUCAACCCGACGAUCCCACUCUGCAUGCCCCCUCAUGUGGCCUGCCGCAUUUCCUGCAACGGCCCGGUCCUAACUGGCCUUUCGGCCUACCAUCUGAUCCCUUGGGCUUCUUCCCCGAAGCGCCUCCUGUCUGUCCCUCCUCUGACUUCCUUUUCCGGAUGUGCUCCAGAUCUAUCUACCUCUCCCUCGCCCUAGCAAUCAUCGAGUCCAAGGUAGGGCAAGCUAAAAAACUACAUGCUCCCGAAUGUCGGCUCGCAGCAUGUCGUGAUAGCGAGUCCUCCUCAUAUCCUCAUCCCCCGCAUACUGGGGCACCAGCAAUGCCCUCUCCCGAAACUUGGCGGUGAUCUCCGCCACAGUUUCCGUAGUCUGUCUCAUGUCUAAAAACUCCCUGGCCAGCUGCUAAAGCUCCACAGCUGGCGCGAACUCUUCUCUGAACCGGGUUAUAAAAUCCGGCCAUGACAUCGCCUCAACAACCAAGGCUCCCAACGAGUCACCAACAGACUCCCACCAGUCUCUAGCUCGGUCUCUCAAACAUCCCGCUGCAAACCUCACCUUCGACCCCUCGGGGCAGAAGCUAGUCAACCGUGCAGACUCAAUGUCUGCGAUCCAUCGUCUGGCAGCAAUGGGGUCCUUCGCCCCAUGGAAAUCUGGCGCACCACUACCCCUGAAGUCCUUAAAGGACAGUGUGCGAGAUCUUAAUUGGCUAGAUUCCAAGUCACUCCGGAAUGCCCUGAGGCGGUCCUCCAUCAGCUCAACUAUCCCUUCCUUGAUCGACCCGAAGAUGAUGGGGGUCGACUCAAGGAUACCUCUAGUAAUCUAUGACGCGAUUAACUCGCGUAUCCUCUCGUCUACUGGCUCGGAACCUGAUCCCGAACCCAAUCCCUCUCCUGAACUGCCCACUGCUGGCCUCGGACGUAGUACCACCAUUCUGCAAUACAUACAGAUAACCAUUAGUGAUACUGACACCUCUAGAGGGAUCACAUCCACUACAAGUUCCCCGGUCUUGUCUUAGCCUUCCUCAAUUCGGGUAUGGAUCCUUUGCUUUUAGUAGUACGGGACCAUACUGCCUUCCACAUCUAUCCAUACCUUCCUCAAGGACUACCUUGACUCCACCAGAUCCCUUUUUCCACUGCUGAUCUCUGCUACUCUUAUCCUAGGCUUACCCUAGCAAACCUCUUACUCCACCCAAUCCGGUCCUCAGCUGCUGAAGGCCUCCUUGUAAUGCCAAUUAGCCAUUACCUGAAUACCAUCACAUGUGAUGAGGCUCAGAUAAUCCUUCGAGUAACAGACUCGUCCCUACAAGGGUUAGACUCAGACAAGAGCUGCGCAAUAGGGCCAAAUCCAACACUCUGAGAUUAUCCAAUCCUUACCACAUGUGACGCGACGUAUUCACCUAAUGGCUAAUUACCAUCACUCAGAGUCCCAUACAACACAAAGAAAGCAGCAUUCAGAUGCAGGAAAACUACUCAAGCAAGUCUGGUCUCAUAGUGAGAAACUGUACUAGCAUACAAUGCUAAGCUCUUACUAUCAGGCAUAACCUAAACAGGCUAUCCUACUGCUGUCUACUCAAUACUAACAUGCAAUUCAUAUAAGCUGAAACACAUAAAUCAGGCACAUAAGGCAUCACUCCUAGAUCCUUAGUCCUAUUCUAGCAUGUUGUUCUACUGAAACUGAUAAAUGUAACAUAAACUUGUAUGGGUACUUUAGGGAAUACUUACUUGAGCUCGGCCGGUCGCGCACAUCACACACUUCGUUCUUUCUAAAAAAAACUAUUUACUUAACUUUUAGAAAACAUUUCCUUUUUCAAAAUCUUUUAAUCCCUCGAUUUGUGUUCAGACACCCCCGAGGGUGUGUCCGAAUCCCUCAAACCAAUGCUCUGAUACCAACUUGUAAUGACCCAUUUUUCACGUCCAAAAAUUUCAUUUUUAAAUCAAUACUUUGUAAAAUCAUUUGUAAAUAAACAUUGUCUGAUCAAUUCAUUUCAUAAAUAUAUGUAGUGUCUGAAAACCAAAACAUGAAAUCAAUCCAAAGGUCAGAGUAUAAAUCCCAGAACAAUCUCAUAAAUGCGGAAAACACUGCGUGUGUAUGAUGUGUCGCUACCGUGCUAGCUCCUUCCCCUUCGAAGAAGAGGUACCUGAAACCAAAACUAAAAACCAUAAGCACGAAGCUUAGUGAUUUCCCCCAACGUACCACAUACCAUACAAUCACAUAACAUACAUACUGCCAUGCAAUUCUAGGGUGCCAACCUACCCAUGCGGCCAUUCUGGGGUGCCGUCCUACUCGUGUCAAGCCGUUCUGGGGUGCUGACUACCCAUGUCAAGCAAUUCUGGGGUGCUGACUACCCAUGUCAAGCCAUUCUAGGGUGCUGACCUACCCAUGUCAAGCCUUUCUGGGGUCCUGACCUACCCUUCGGUCCUAACAACCGACUCUCGGGGACUAUUCUACCCCCAUACUACUACUAUCACAUAUAACAUAACAUAAACAUAUUAACAGACAUAUCUGGGGUGCCUGAACUACCCUUCGGUCCUAACAACCGAACUCGGGGACUGGUCCCCUCCUACUACCUCUAUCGCAUAUAACAUAACAAGCCAGCAUGCAAACAUAUCAUCACAUACUGUCAGACGUAUCUAGGGUGUCUGACUACCUUUCGGUCCUAACAACCAAACUCUACUACUAUCACAUACAACAUAUCAUGCUAGCAUAUAACCUAUCAGGUAGUAGAAAACCU